AGAGUUUGAUCAUGGCUCAGAUUGAACGCUGGCGGCAGGCUUAACACAUGCAAGUCGAACGGUAACAGGAAGAAAGCUUGCUUUCUUUGCUGACGAGUGGCGGACGGGUGAGUAAUGCUUGGGAAUCUGGCUUAUGGAGGGGGAUAACUACGGGAAACUGUAGCUAAUACCGCGUAGUAUCGGAAGAUGAAAGUGUGGGACCGCAAGGCCACAUGCCAUAAGAUGAGCCCAAGUGGGAUUAGGUAGUUGGUUAGGUAAAGGCUGACCAAGCCGACGAUCUCUAGCUGGUCUGAGAGGAUGACCAGCCACACUGGAACUGAGACACGGUCCAGACUCCUACGGGAGGCAGCAGUGGGGAAUAUUGCACAAUGGGGGGAACCCUGAUGCAGCCAUGCCGCGUGAAUGAAGAAGGCCUUCGGGUUGUAAAGUUCUUUCGGUGAUGAGGAAGGUGUUUGUUUUAAUAGAACAAACAAUUGACGUUAGUCACAGAAGAAGCACCGGCUAACUCCGUGCCAGCAGCCGCGGUAAUACGGAGGGUGCGAGCGUUAAUCGGAAUAACUGGGCGUAAAGGGCACGCAGGCGGUGACUUAAGUGAGAUGUGAAAGCCCCGAGCUUAACUUGGGAAUUGCAUUUCAUACUGAGUCGCUAGAGUACUUUAGGGAGGGGUAGAAUUCCACGUGUAGCGGUGAAAUGCGUAGAGAUGUGGAGGAAUACCGAAGGCGAAGGCAGCCCCUUGGGAAUGUACUGACGCUCAUGUGCGAAAGCGUGGGGAGCAAACAGGAUUAGAUACCCUGGUAGUCCACGCUGUAAACGCUGUCGAUUUGGGGAUUGGGCUUUGAGCUUGGUGCCCGUAGCU
rnacentral:rRNA from 1 species